rnacentral:misc_RNA from 1 species
GCGCUUUCGCCACUGGUGUUCCUCCCGAUAUCUGCGCAUUUCACCGCUACACCGGGAAUUCCAUUCUCCCCUACCUACCUCUAGCCUGACAGUAUCGAAUGCAGUCACGGGGUUGAGCCCCGGGAUUUCACACCCGACUUGCCAAGCCGCCUGCGCGCUCUUUACGCCCAAUGAUUCCGGACAACGCUCGCCUCCUACGUGUUACCGCGGCUGCUGGCACGUAGUUAGCCGAGGCUUCUUCUGCAGGUACCGUCACGGUGUCGCUUCGUCCCUGCCGAAAGGGGUUUACGACCUGAAAGGCCUUCGUCCCCCACGCGGUGUCGCUGCGUCAGGCUUUCGCCCAUUGCGCAAGAUUCCCCACUGCUGCACCCCGUAGG